rnacentral:rRNA from 2 species
ACGGGUGAGUAACACGUGGGUGAUCUGCCUCGCACUCUGGGAUAAGCCUGGGAAACUGGGUCUAAUACCGGAUAUGAGCAGCCUCUGCAUGGGGGCUGUUGGAAAGGUUUACUGGUGCGAGAUGGGCCCGCGGCCUAUCAGCUUGUUGGUGGGGUAACGGCCCACCAAGGCGACGACGGGUAGCCGACCUGAGAGGGUGACCGGCCACACUGGGACUGAGACACGGCCCAGACUCCUACGGGAGGCAGCAGUGGGGAAUAUUGCACAAUGGGCGAAAGCCUGAUGCAGCGACGCCGCGUGAGGGAUGACGGCCUUCGGGUUGUAAACCUCUUUUGACAGGGACGAAGCGCAAGUGACGGUACCUGUAGAAGAAGCACCGGCCAACUACGUGCCAGCAGCCGCGGUAAUACGUAGGGUGCGAGCGUUGUCCGGAAUUACUGGGCGUAAAGAGCUUGUAGGCGGUCUGUCACGUCGAUUGUGAAAACUUGCAGCUCAACUGCAAGCUUGCAGUCGAUACGGGCAGACUAGAGUACUUCAGGGGAGACUGGAAUUCCUGGUGUAGCGGUGAAAUGCGCAGA